GGCCUGGUGGUCUAGUGGUAUGAUUCUUGCUUUGGGAUCUUCAUCUCGUUAAUCUGUUAUGUUGCAAGAGGUCCCGGGUUCGAUCCCCGGCCAGGCCC
rnacentral:tRNA from 1 species